AUUCUUGCGCAGCGGCAAUUUCAUAGUCCAUGAAGUUUCUACUGAGACGUGAUUAUUGCUGGUUUGAAAACUUAACCCAAUACCCCCGCCGGGAUGACUUGAAAUAUAGUCAGACCUUGGCAAUUUUUUGUUAGUCUCCCAGGAGA